rnacentral:misc_RNA from 1 species
GAAAUGCGAUAAGUAGUGUGAAUUGCAGAAUUCAGUGAAUCAUCGAAUCUUUGAACGCACAUUGCGCCCUUUGGUAUUCCUUAGGUCAUGCCUGUUCGAGCGUCAUCUAAACCUUCAAGCCCUGCUUGGUGUUGGGUGCCUGUCCCGCCUCCGCGCGCGGACUCACCUCAAAUCCAUUGGCGGCCCCCGCGUCGGCCACGAGCGCAGCAGAAACGCGAACUCGUGAGCCCGUCCGGGCGGCUCCCAGAAGCUACACCCACCCAGUUUGACCUCGGAUCAGGUAGGGAUACCCGCUGAACUUAAGC